CAUCUUGGCUUAUUUGUUGACAAAGAUGCAGCCACCUUAUUGGUGUAGCACGCUCACGUGACGCACCGUGCAACCACUUUCUGGCAAAAUAUUAUUCCGCUCAGAGGGAAAUAGUCCGUGAUAAAAGUUAUCGCCAUAGCCGCUUUGCUACGAUAUCAACGACAAAAAUAAUUGGUAGCUCUGUAAGGCCCCCGGCUUUGUAUUCGUAUGGAGAUCACAUGGUCAUAACACGAAAAAAGCUUCACUUUAUGGACGGCACAACUUCCGACCAUGCUGUCGACAGAGGAAUCCUUGCGCACAUGGACUACGCUCAAUGCAAUCACGAGUUGGAGGUACUGGAACUUUCAAGAGACGAAGGAAAAAGUUUCGAAGAAGGCAAUUUUACCUCAUUCAGUGGUUAAGAGAGAGUGUUUGCAGUCAGUUUCCAAAUACCACAGAAGAACAAGUCGGAGCAGCUCUCGAUGAUCACCUAAAACAGGCGCCAGCUCGAUGUGGUGGUGGGGGGGCUACAAGAAACACAGAACUUCCCCCUUCUGAUUUUUUUUCUAAAAUCCCCACAAAGUUCUUUAAAAACAAACGUUUUAAAUCUAUUUUUUUAUUUUCUUUUUCGCAUUGCGAGGCAAAUUUCAUAAAACCAGUUAAAAGGAUUUAUAUUUACAGUUGUUUUUUUUUUUUUUACAUUUUUUCCACUGUUAUGUGUAAUAUUUUGUUCAGUUUAUUUUGAAUUGUUUUAAUUUUUCCAAGUUCAAGGUUUAAAUUUAUGUUCUAUUUGUGUAACAUUAAAGAAAAAUUAUGCCAAGUCCAUGAUUGUAAUGGUUGUAUUCUGAAUGAAUGUACUGUAAUUGCAAUUCCAGUCUACUGAUGACACUAAUUUAACACUAAUCUACAUAUGUAGAUUAGUGUUAAAUUAUGAAAAAGCAUGACAUUAGAUUAAAAAUGUAUUGUGAAAGGUCCAGAAAGAGACACAUUGGCAAAAUAGUCGGGACAUCCUGAGAGUACAUCAGGGUAAGAAUUGCAGGUAAUUUCUCAUGUACGCUUUUUUUUCUGAGAGAGAUUUUUGUCUACAGUACAUUUUUUUUUACAUUUUUAUUGAGAAUAUUUUUUAUAAAUUGCCAAAUUCUAAUUAAUUUAUUCAAAUUUGGGGAAAAUAUGCAUUAAAGCGCUUCCUACAGAAUGUUGUACUACUUAUCUGUUAUUAAAUCAGCGACAAAGUGAAGUUGUCGGAUGUUACCAAUACAAGAAGGAAUGAAACUUCUGCUGGACACUGAGAAUGCUCCAGGAUUGGCCUGAGGCAGGGAGACUGGGGCAGCCGGAGUCCUUCUUCCACAGCAGUGUCAAGCUGAGCCACACCAGAAUUCCUCAGAACAGAAAGGUCAGGAGAAACAAGUGGCACUUCCCUUGUCAUUCCUUUGCUGAGGUAACAGUACUGUGAAGAGCAGUGUUUUGUGAGAUACACACUGGAUACAUUUCUCAUUGUUUUUGCAAUGACAGUAGAGAUGUUGCACUGUGCAUCAACUUGGAGGGCACCGGACCUCAACUGGACUGCUUCAAACAUUGUACUAAGCAGCUCUGCCCUCUAUGGAUCUACGUGGAGCCACUCAGCGCAAGGAGAGAGGUAGGAAGUCCUCUUCCUUUUUUUGGGUGGAACCACUAGGUCUCUCCAGUUUUCGACCGCUUCAUCAUCUGCUGAAGGAAUGUUUGUGGCAGCAUCAGAUUCCACAAAAGGGUGAACAUCCAUUUUUAUCUUGCCUUCUGCACUGUGGGUAGUCAUGGAUGCUGGAUUGGCUUUUGUGACUAUCACAGAUGCCGCUGUUGCCUCAUCUUUGGUCAUUUCUUUUGCAGAGCAAAUCCGCAUAUUUCCUUCAAUGAAAGACAGAUGACGAGCAAUGAAGCGAUCAACUCGAACAGGCAAGUUUUCAUGUUUGAAAAGGCCAUGUUUUAUAUUUUUGAACUCUGCUUCAGCAGUGGCUGAGCUUGCUGUGAUGCUGGUGCUUUGGAAGAGAGGGACCAUUAUUCCUGUCCAGAGCGGUCAGUCUGGAUCUCAUCACAUGGAUCCACUGUUUCCAUUUCCUCUCUCUCUUCUCCUGGAGUGAUGAUGGAGUCCUCUGCAAUUUGGGCUUUUAGGUAUUUCUUGCACCUUUCUGAUGCGAGAGGGACUCCAGAACUGUCGUCACCCUCUGCCUCACUGAGGGCAACAACAGUGAUAGCACGCAGUCCCACUGGCAGAUCAUCUUGAUGCAGUGUGCAACAUCAACCCUGACAAAACAAGGGGGAAGUUUUGCAGACUGGUUCCCACCAUUUGCACCACUGGGACACUGGAGCAGUUGUGUGCUGUCAGAACACCUUGAUAAAGGAAGAUAUGGCCAGAUGUACCAUUUGGUCUCACCAGUUUUCUCACUACUGAGCCAGUUGCAUCAAAACACACUGCUGGGGUGGCCAAAUUCGGUAGGUGGCUUGGCUCAGGAUCUCCAACAUCCAUUAGAUCUGCUGCCUUUGCUGACCUCCAUACAGCUGGUUCCAUCCUGCCCUCACACAGCUCUUUCGCAAUCUGCUCACGCAGGUUUCCAGACAUGAACCGCUUGGAACGGCCAGUGUGCAGCGAGAUGUCUGUAUUUUUUAUGUCACACUGAAACAUCAUUGGGCUAUUAAUUGCUGGCUCUCUGUCACAUUUCAUUUCCAAAUGGCCAUUGCACUCCUUACAGUAGCCUCUAAUCUGUAUGUAAGUAUUAGUGACAGUUGGAUAAACCUUGGCUCUUUGGAACACAAAUGUGCAUGAGUUUUUUAUCUUCUUCCACAAUAAAUUAUUUAUGACAUGAGUCCAAGUGCCAGGUUUCAAAACUGUGUAUUCCCUUUUCUGAGAUGGAGAAAACUUGUCUUUGUAUUGCACUUUUUCUGGAAUAAAUUUAAUCCAUUCCUCAAAAGGCACUUCCAGCUGAAAAGCUUGACAAUCUUUUUGUUCAGGAGAAAUGCAACCUGAGUCUCACUCCAUGUCAACAGUACUGUCUGGAUCACUUUCCUGGUCACUAAAUUCCAAAACUGACCAGAUGUUAUGUCUGUUCAGCUUCACAAAAGUGUACAGGGCCUUUGCAGACAUCUUGCCUUCUAACUGCUGACUCAGCUCUGUCCAGACAGUGGCAGCUGGAGUGGCUAUUUUGCCAUUGUUGACUAUGGCCUCCUUUGAAGUGCAGAGAACAGCAAAAAUUGAAUCCCUGUCUACUGAUGGCUUUCGGGGCAUCUAGUUAAAAAAAAAAAAAAAAAAAAACGAUGAUUAGCACUGAUCAAAACAUUAAUUCUGGCCUAUAUAAUCUUCCUGGAGACACAAAGCAUAUCAGUCUCCAGCAAUCUACAUGCUUACUUGGGUCUUUUGUGCAUUUACAAAUGAAGUGUUUCCUGUUUAAUUUUGAAAAUGUUAGCGAUACCAUGUUAGCUAAAUCAUGUUAACUUGGAAUUUUACUGCAUUAUUUUUGCUAAAACCUCGGUAUUUUACAAGUGCACUUACCGUGUCUAGAAAUCAGAUUUAUCUGAAGGUUGUAAAAAUACCACUGAAACGGUAAAAUUGUGAAAAGGUCA